GUAGGGAAUCUUCGGCAAUGGACGAAAGUCUGACCGAGCAACGCCGCGUGAGUGAAGAAGGUUUUCGGAUCGUAAAACUCUGUUGUUAGAGAAGAAUGUUGAUUAGAGUGGAAAAUUAAUCAAGUGACGGUAUCUAACCAGAAAGGGACGGCUAACUACGUGCCAGCAGCCGCGGUAAUACGUAGGUCCCGAGCGUUGUCCGGAUUUAUUGGGCGUAAAGCGAGCGCAGGUGGUUUAAUAAGUCUGAUGUAAAAGGCAGUGGCUCAACCAUUGUGUGCAUUGGAAACUGUUAGACUUGAGUGCAGUAGAGGAGAGUGGAAUUCCAUGUGUAGCGGUGAAAUGCGUAGAUAUAUGGAGGAACACCGGUGGCGAAAGCGGCUCUCUGGACUGUCACUGACACUGAGGCUCGAAAGCGUGGGUAGCAAACAGGAUUAGAAACCCCAGUAGUCC
rnacentral:rRNA from 1 species